GUGGGGGUGAGCUGGACCUGAGGACAUGAGCAUUGAAGAACUGGCCUUAACAUGUCUGCUGUAUGGUGGGGAGGAGGAGGAAGAGAUGCCCUUGGCCCCCCACAUCCCUUAACACUUACAGCAGGAAGACAAUUUCUUCCUAUCUUUAAUGGGAAACUCUUCUAGAAAUUACAAGGGCAGAAUUCAAGGCUAUGCACUGCAGAGAUGAACAGGACAAAAAAAAAAAAAAAAGGUACAAAAAGGAACCGAUGCCAUAGUUCUGAGAAAAAUACACUUCACAGACUCCCAUCUUAGAAACUCUGGGAUGGAGAACAGAGUUUCAUAUUAAACAACAGCUGCCAACUUCCACAAAUUAGUUCUGUUCACAAAUUCUCUUGGCUUGGAGAACAUGAGGAAACAGAAGGAUGAGAAUGAAUACAAACAAUAAAGACUUCACCCAAUGCAAAGUAAAGAA
rnacentral:lncRNA from 1 species